GAUGAACGCUGGCGGCGUGCCUAAUACAUGCAAGUCGAGCGAAAAGACGAGGCGCUUGCUCCUCUGACGUUAGCAGCGGACGGGUGAGUCACACGUGGAUAACCCCCCUAUUAGACUGGAACAUCUUCGGGUAACCGGAGUACUUACUGGAUAAUAUAUUGAACCGCAUGGUUCAAUAGUGAAAGACGGUUUUGCUGUCACUUAUAGAUGUAUCCGCGCCGCAUUAGCUAGUUGGUAUGGUAACGGCUUACCAAGGCAACGAUGCGUAGCAGACGUGAGAGGGUGGUCGGCCAGACAGGAUCGAAGACACGAUCCAGACUCCGACGGGAGGCAGAAGUAGAGAAGCGGCAGCAGUGGGCGAAAGCUUGCCGGAGCAACGCCGCGGGUGUGAUGAAGGUGUGCGGAGCGUAAAACUCUGUGAGUAGGGAAGAACAAUUGUGUAAGUAGCUGUGCACGUCUUGACGGUACCUAAUCAGAAAGCCACGGCUAACUACGUG
rnacentral:rRNA from 1 species